rnacentral:rRNA from 1 species
GACGAACGCUGGCGGCGUGCCUAAUACAUGCAAGUCGAACGCUGAAGGAGGAGCUUGCUCUUCUGGAUGAGUUGCGAACGGGUGAGUAACGCGUAGGUAACCUGCCUGGUAGCGGGGGAUAACUAUUGGAAACGAUAGCUAAUACCGCAUAACAGUAGAUGUUGCAUGACAUUUACUUAAAAGGUGCAAUUGCAUCACUACCAGAUGGCCCUGCGUUGUAUUAGCUAGUUGGUGGGGUAACGGCUCACCAAGGCGACGAUACAUAGCCGACCUGAGAGGGGGAUCGGCCACACUGGGACUGAGACACGGCCCAGACUCCUACGGGAGGCAGCAGUAGGGAAUCUUCGGCAAUGGACGGAAGUCUGACCGAGCAACGCCGCGGGAGUGAAGAAGGUUGUCGGAUCGUAAAGCUCUGUUGUAAGAGAAGAACGAGUGUGAGAGUGGAAAGUUCACACUGUGACGGUAGCUUACCAGAAAGGGACGGCUAACUACGUG